rnacentral:rRNA from 1 species
GACGAACGCUGGCGGCGUGCUUAACACAUGCAAGUCGAACGAAGAGCGAUGGAAGCUUGCUUCUAUCAAUCUUAGUGGCGAACGGGCGAGUAACGCGUAAUCAACCUGCCCUUCAGAGGGGGACAACAGUUGGAAACGACUGCUAAUACCGCAUACGAUCUAACCUCGGCAUCGAGGAUGGAUGAAAGGUGGCCUCUAUGUAUAAGCUAUCACUGAAGGAGGGGAUUGCGUCUGAUUAGCUAGUUGGAGGGGUAACGGCCCACCAAGGCGAUGAUCAGUAGCCGGUCUGAGAGGAUGAACGGCCACAUUGGGACUGAGACACGGCCCAGACUCCUACGGGAGGCAGCAGUGGGGAAUCUUCCGCAAUGGACGAAAGUCUGACGGAGCAACGCCGCGUGAGUGAUGACGGGCUUCGGGUUGUAAAGCUCUGUUAAUCGGGACGAAAGGCCUUCUUGCGAAUAGUUAGAAG